rnacentral:rRNA from 1 species
GGCGGACGGGUGAGUAAUACUUAGGAAUCUGCCCAUUAGUGGGGGACAACUAGAAGAAAUUCUAGCUAAUACCGCAUACGCCCUACGGGGGAAAGCGGGGGAUCUUCGGACCUCGCGCUAAUGGAUGAGCCUAAGUCGGAUUAGCUUGUUGGUGAGGUAAAGGCUCACCAAGGCGACGAUCCGUAGCUGGUCUGAGAGGAUGAUCCGCCACACUGGAACUGGAACACGGACCAG